GUGGGGAAUCUUGCGCAAUGGGCGAAAGCCUGACGCAGCCAUGCCGCGUGAAUGAUGAAGGUCUUAGGAUUGUAAAAUUCUUUCACCGGGGACGAUAAUGACGGUACCCGGAGAAGAAGCUCCGGCUAACUUCGUGCCAGCAGCCGCGGUAAUACGAAGGGGGCUAGCGUUGCUCGGAAUUACUGGGCGUAAAGGGCGCGUAGGCGGACAGCUUAGUCAGAGGUGAAAGCCCAGGGCUCAACCUUGGAAUUGCCUUUGAUACUGGCUGUCUUGAGUUUGGGAGAGGUGAGUGGAACUCCGAGUGUAGAGGUGAAAUUCGUAGAUAUUCGGAAGAACACCAGUGGCGAAGGCGACUCACUGGCCCAAUACUGACGCUGUGGCGCGAAAGCGUGGGGAGCAAACAGGAUUAGAAACCCGUGUAGUCC
rnacentral:rRNA from 1 species